rnacentral:rRNA from 1 species
UGCCAGACUCCUACGGGAGGCAGCAGUCGGGAAUAUUGCACAAUGGAGGAAACUCUGAUGCAGUGACACCGCGUAUAGGAAGAAGGUUUUCGGAUUGUAAACUAUUUUAGACAGGGAAGAAAAAAGACAGUACCUGUAGAAUAAGCUCCGGCUAACUACGUGCCAGCAGCCGCGGUAAUACGUAGGGAGCGAGCGUUGUCCGGAAUUACUGGGUGUAAAGGGAGCGUAGGCGGGGAUGCAAGUUGGGUGUCAAAACUACCGGCUCAACUGGUAGUCGCACUCAAAACUGCAGCUCUUGAGUGAAGUAGAGGCAGGCGGAAUUCCUAGUGUAGCGGUGAAAUGCGUAGAUAUUAGGAGGAACACCAGUGGCGAAGGCGGCCUGCUGGGCUUUUACUGACGCUGAGGCUCGAAAGUGUGGGGAGCAAACAGGAUUAGAUACCCCCGUAC